UACGUAGGGCGCAAGCGUUGUCCGGAAUUAUUGGGCGUAAAGAGCUCGCAGGCGGUUUGUCGCGUCUGCUGUGAAAUCCUCAGGCUCAACCUGGGGCUUGCAGUGGGUACGGGCAGACUAGAGUGCGGUAGGGGUGACUGGAAUUCCUGGUGUAGCGGUGGAAUGCGCAGAUAUCAGGAGGAACACCGAUGGCGAAGGCAGGUCACUGGGCCGCAACUGACGCUGGAGGAG
rnacentral:rRNA from 1 species